rnacentral:tRNA from 1 species
GGGCGAUUAACUCAGUGGCUAGAGUGCUACCUUCACACGGUAGAAGUCACUGGUUCAAAUCCAGUAUCGCCCA